AAUACUGGCACGUGAGGUAAAGCAACUGUGGAACAGGAGCAUUCCGUAUGUGAAGGUUCAGUGAAAAAAUCAUGAGGAACGCGAGGCUGCGUGGGAGCUUGAGUCUUCUAUGCGGGAGCGAUAUCCUUAGUUGUUCGCGGGGCAUGCUUGAUUAAGUUUUGGGGACGAAACUUUUUGUGGCGGGGAUAAUGUAAUAUAUGAGAUUUGAAUAAAGGAAUUCGAAUUUGAAAUUUGAAUUUUAUAAAUAAAUAUGUUAGUGUGUGUAUAUAUAUAUAUAUAUAUAGAGUAGCGCUACUAUACUAUUAUGAGUAUU
rnacentral:lncRNA from 1 species